rnacentral:rRNA from 1 species
UGCAGUCGAACGGUGAAGCCCAGCUUGCUGGGUGGAUCAGUGGCGAACGGGUGAGUAACACGUGAGCAACCUGCCCCUGACUCUGGGAUAAGCGCUGGAAACGGCGUCUAAUACUGGAUACGAGUAGCGACCGCAUGGUCAGUUACUGGAAAGAUUUAUUGGUUGGGGAUGGGCUCGCGGCCUAUCAGCUUGUUGGUGAGGUAAUGGCUCACCAAGGCGUCGACGGGUAGCCGGCCUGAGAGGGUGACCGGCCACACUGGGACUGAGACACGGCCCAGACUCCUACGGGAGGCAGCAGUGGGGAAUAUUGCACAAUGGGCGCAAGCCUGAUGCAGCAACGCCGCGUGAGGGAUGACGGCCUUCGGGUUGUAAACCUCUUUUAGCAGGGAAGAAGCGAAAGUGACGGUACCUGCAGAAAAAGCGCCGGCUAACUACGUGCCAGCAGCCGCGGUAAUACGUAGGGCGCAAGCGUUAUCCGGAAUUAUUGGGCGUAAAGAGCUCGUAGGCGGUUUGUCGCGUCUGCUGUGAAAUCCGGAGGCUCAACCUCCGGCCUGCAGUGGGUACGGGCAGACUAGAGUGCGGUAGGGGAGAUUGGAAUUCCUGGUGUAGCGGUGGAAUGCGCAGAUAUCAGGAGGAACACCGAUGGCGAAGGCAGAUCUCUGGGCCGUAACUGACGCUGAGGAGCGAAAGGGUGGGGAGCAAACAGGCUUAGAUACCCUGGUAGUCCACCCCGUAAACGUUGGGAACUAGUUGUGGGGUCCAUUCCACGGAUUCCGUGACGCAGCUAACGCAUUAAGUUCCCCGCCUGGGGAGUACGGCCGCAAGGCUAAAACUCAAAGGAAUUGACGGGGACCCGCACAAGCGGCGGAGCAUGCGGAUUAAUUCGAUGCAACGCGAAGAACCUUACCAAGGCUUGACAUAUACGAGAACGGGCCAGAAAUGGUCAACUCUUUG